rnacentral:rRNA from 1 species
UACGGAGGGUGCAAGCGUUAUCCGGAUUCACUGGGUUUAAAGGGUGCGUAGGUGGAUUAGUAAGUCAGUGGUGAAAUCUCCGGGCUUAACCCGGAAACUGCCAUUGAUACUAUUAGUCUUGAAUACCGUGGAGGUCAGCGGAAUAUGUCAUGUAGCGGUGAAAUGCUUAGAUAUGACAUAGAACACCAAUUGCGAAGGCAGCUGGCUACACGAAUAUUGACACUCAGGCACUAAAGCGUGGGGAUCAAACAGG